rnacentral:rRNA from 1 species
AUUGAACGCUGGCGGCAUGCCUUACACAUGCAAGUCGAACGGUAACGGGCCUUCGGGUGCCGACGAGUGGCGAACGGGUGAGUAAUACAUCGGAACGUGCCCGAUCGUGGGGGAUAACGAGGCGAAAGCUUUGCUAAUACCGCAUACGAUCUACGGAUGAAAGCAGGGGACCGCAAGGCCUUGCGCGGACGGAGCGGCCGAUGGCAGAGUAGGUAGUUGGUGGGAUAAAAGCUUACCAAGCCGACGAUCUGUAGCUGGUCUGAGAGGAUGAUCAGCCACACUGGGACUGAGACACGGCCCAGACUCCUACGGGAGGCAGCAGUGGGGAAUUUUGGACAAUGGGCGGAAGCCUGAUCCAGCCAUGCCGCGUGCAGGAUGAAGGCCUUCGGGUUGUAAACUGCUUUUGUACGGAACGAAAAGCCUUCUUUUAAUACAGGAGGGUCAUGACGGUACCGUAAGAAUAAGCACCGGCUAACUACGUG